rnacentral:rRNA from 1 species
CAGUCGCCGCGGGAAUACGGAGGGAGCUAGUGUUGUUCGGAAUUACUGGGCGUAAAGGGCUCGCAGGCGGUUUCUUAAGUCUGAUGUGAAAGCCCCCGGCUCAACCGGGGAGGGUCAUUGGAAACUGGGAAACUUGAGUGCAGAAGAGGAGAGUGGAACUCCACGUGUAGCGGUGAAAUGCGUAGAGAUGUGGAGGAACACCAGUGGCGAAGGCGACUCUCUGGUCUGUAACUGACGCUGAGGAGCGAAAGCGUGGGGAGCGAACAGGAUUAGAUACCCGCGUAGUCCCUGUCUCUUAUAC